rnacentral:lncRNA from 1 species
GGGGGGGGGGGGGGGGGGGGGGGGGGGGGGGGGGGGGGGGGGGGGGGGGGGGGGGGGGGGGGGGGGGGGGGGGGGGGGGGGGGGGGGGGGGGGGGGGGGGGGGGGGGGGGGGGGGGGGGGGGGCGGCGGCCCGGCGGGAUUUGGGCUCACGGGGGCGGGAGCCGGAGGGGGCGGCCCGGGCGGGGCGGGGAAUGGAGCGGGGCGGCGGUGGCGGUGGCGGGCACGUGGGUUUGGGGCGCACUCCUGGCCUAGGGGUGAGGAUUCCCCGGAGGGUGAGGUUGCCCUAUGAUCCUGGAUACGAGCGGGUAUUCCCGCCGCACAGGUGCUCACAGGAGUUUCAUCUCUGGAAAGUCCUCUCGCAGAACGGGCAAAACACUAGUUUACCAAGUCUGAGAAUCGGAUUUCCUGCCUUUGUGUGAUCAAUCGCAAACUACCUGCUAAGAUCAGACUUCCCACUUCUGUCUUUUUAUCCACCAAGACCAGAUGGUUACAUGACCAAUUGUCCGAAGAAGUGUCCCAGGAAGUUUCUUUGACCACCACUGCUUACCUGGCAGAAUUACGACAACAAAACAAUAACAAUUAUUGAUUACUACAAGGAAAACCAUCCUAUAGAAAGGGAGCUGCAAACCAGGUUCAGUGAAAGUGUGGAGUGGGCGGUGACCCCUCACGUUUUGUCUAUUUAAAAUAAAGCAAUCGAAAUUUUGCUGAAUAUCGAGACUUUUGUUUCUCAUUUAUAACACAAACAAUAAAAUGAUGCUUUAUUUAUGUUUUAAUUAAGGGGAACUAUCAGUGGGAGCUUUUUUUUUCCCUCUGUGGGCCUCCAGAUUUCCUGAUACCCCUUGCGAAAGAGCUUUGCUUGUUUUCCUGCUCACCUGUGGCUCACUUGAUAAUGUGACAAGGUAACAACUUGAGCACGUUGGCUUUAACUGGUUAAAAUCUGUGCUGUGCCCCUGUACACCCAGCAGGGUUUAGUUGCAGCACUGGGACAGCAGUGCUGUGCAAGUAGAGUGCCCAGCAGUUAAUUUGCAGCACAAGCCCUGGCCCCAGCUGGUCAUACUGAACCAGCAGUAGUG